UCACUUCCGGUCAGCAAGUCAUCGACUA
rnacentral:sRNA from 1 species